CCUACGGGGGGCAGCAGUGAGGAAUAUUGGUCAAUGGGCGCGAGCCUGAACCAGCCAAGUAGCGUGAAGGAUGACUGCCCUACGGGUUGUAAACUUCUUUUAUAAAGGAAUAAAGUGAGGCACGUGUGCCUUUUUGUAUGUACUUUAUGAAUAAGGAUCGGCUAACUCCGUGCCAUCAGCCGCGGUAAUACGGAGGAUCCGAGCGUUAUCCGGAUUUAUUGGGUUUAAAGGGAGCGUAGAUGGGUUGUUAAGUCAGUUGUGAAAGUUUGCGGCUCAACCGUAAAAUUGCAAUUGAUACUGGCAGUCUUGAGUACAGUUGAGGUAGGCGGAAUUCGUGGUGUAGCGGUGAAAUGCUUAGAGAUCACGAAGAACUCCGAUUGCGAAGGCAGCUUACUAAACUGCCACUGACAUUGAUGCUCGAAAGUGUGGGUAUCAAACAGGAUUAGAUACACGGGUAGUC
rnacentral:rRNA from 1 species